UUGGUGUGUUGCUGUGAGGCCUGGUGACCU
rnacentral:piRNA from 1 species